AGAAUCAACGCUGGCGGCGUGCCUCAGACAUGCAAGUCGAACGCGAAAGCUUUCUUCGGAGAGCAAGUAGAGUGGCGCACGGGUGAGUAACACGUGGGUAAUUUACCUUUGGGUGGGGAAUAACAGCCGGAAACGGCUGCUGAUACCGCAUAAUGCAGCGGCAUCUUAAUGAUGACAGUUGUUAAAGCGAGGGAUCGCAAGACCUGCGCCAGAAGAAAAGCCCGCGGCAGAUUAGCUAGUUGGUGAGGUAAUGGCUCACCAAGGCGACGAUCUGUA
rnacentral:rRNA from 1 species